rnacentral:lncRNA from 1 species
AAUAAUGAUAAAUGUGUUUUUUAAGAACGAAAUUUCUACAUACUUUCAUUCUUGGUACUGUUAUAACUAGUUGUCCAGCAUACAAAAAUGAUAGGGAGAUAUUUUUCAAGGAGAUAAACUGUAUUUGUCCUAAUUUUAUACAUCUUUCAAAUAGGCAAAAUUUGUUUGGUUAUUUACUAAUGAAAAUUUGUCUGUACUUAAAUAUUUAGGGAGC